GUACGACUGCCACAAACUGUCAGCCCUGACAACGGCAUGCGGCACUGCCGCCUAGGGGCAUUGUCAACCCUAGUGAUUUGAUAGCCCCACGGCGAUGUGACACUUUUACGGCGACUCUGACAGUCUACAGUGAGUUGACAAUUCCUCAAUUGUCCGCGCCAUUAAUGACGGUGCCAUACCACGCUCCACUAUAUAAAUCG
rnacentral:lncRNA from 1 species